rnacentral:ncRNA from 1 species
ACUUUGCAUCAAGAACGCAAUGCGUACCAACCGACAUACUCGAUGCACGGUGGUUUAGAAUGCGGAGAAUAACUCUCAAAUUUUCGAGUAAUC